UACGUAGGGACCGAGCGUUGUCCGGAAUUAUUGGGCGUAAAGAGCUCGUAGGCGGUUCGUCGCGUCGGCUGUGAAAACCCGGAGCUCAACUCCGGGCCUGCAGUCGAUACGGGCAGGCUAGAGUUCGGUAGGGGAGAUCGGAAUUCCUGGUGUAGCGGUGAAAUGCGCAGAUAUCAGGAGGAACACCGGUGGCGAAGGCGGAUCUCUGGGCCGAUACUGACGCUGAGGAGCGAAAGCGUGGGGAGCGAACAGG
rnacentral:rRNA from 1 species